AAAGUUACAUUUAAAAAAUAUAUAUACAAGACUCCUUCUCCUGGUUUUUAUUAUUUUCUAAUGCCCUAAUUCCCAAAUCUUCACAUCCUCACAUCUCCAAUUCGCUUCAACGCUCUCGUCUCAAAUCUCCUUCGCCUCACCUGACUGAGAAUGUUGAGCGUCGUCGUCGAUCUGUUCAAGGUCACCGCAGAUCUAUUCGAGGUCUCUCGCCGUUUACGUCUCUCACUUCUUUAUGUUCGUGGUCACCACAGAUCUGUUCGAGGUCUCUCGCAGCUGCGACACCUCUGACGCUUAGAGCGUUCAUUUCUCCUUCGUCUUCUUUUCCCUAGAAGGUCUCCGUCGCCGUUUGUCUUGGUCCCUUGUUCAUUCAAAAUGGCCAGAAGAUGUUCAGUGCGACAUAGAAAUGCUUGAAGGCAAGUACCACAAUGGAAACUUAGCCCCUCUGCCACAUUCUUGGCCCUUUUCCACAAUAUGUUAUUUUCUAUCUAAGGAAAUGUUUUUUGAGAAUUUCUUGAAUACUUUGAGAUCUAGAGUUAUCUUCUCUCCUGUGUUGUUAACUUUUAAUGGUAUUUGUUUCUUGGGGUAGAUAUAUAAAGUUGCUAAUUGUAUCUAGGCUUAUAUGGUGAGCAAACUAAUAUUGCUUUUUUAUGCGAUGGUGGGGAGAGAGGAUGCUGGAACACCCAGCGAUUGGCAGGUGUCGAUUGUGCCGUAGAAGCACAAGCUGCGGUCGUAGAAGUACCUCCGCCGCCGCCAGAUCUUUCGAAAGAACAUCUCGCUUUCCUCACCUAGAAAGCAGGGUUGUGAGAGUGUGAGGGAGGUUCUCUGGAAAUAGAAGAGAAAAUGGGCUUCUUUUUCUUCUAUUGUAUUAUGCUACAGAUCUUUUUGUUUGACUUUUCCUUCUUUCUGCCUCUUUGCUCUUCAAAACGGGACUUUAAUCCAUCUUCUCUUCUAUCAAAUAACUUUUGGAUUGGCGGCCGGAAUUUGAUCUCAGAGAAAUCAACAAGAACACCAAAAUCACGUCAUAUUGAAGCGGAGACGGAGCUGCUGAUCGGACUGUAUUUUUCUUUUUGCACGACACUCUUUAAGGGUGUCGCGAAAAGUCAAUAUUUUUACAGUUACUCACAUUCGCUAAACUUGUACAGGUGUAGCUUAUGUGCAUUUUUAUACUAGUGUGUCCUGAAGAUCGUAAGUCAACUAGUGGUUAUGCUAUGUUUCUUGGGUCAAAUAUUGUGUCUUGGGUCUGCAAGAAACAAAGAACUGUUGUUUGGUCUUACACUGAGGCAGAAUAUAAGGUUCUAGCAAAUGUUUGUGCAGAUGUAAUAUGGAUUAUUUCUUUACUACGUGAGUUCAACGUUCCUAGUGUCUCUGUUCCCAAACUUUGGU